rnacentral:rRNA from 1 species
AGCGAACGCUGGCGGCAGGCUUAACACAUGCAAGUCGAGCGGACCUUUCGGGGUCAGCGGCGGACGGGUGAGUAACGCGUGGGAACGUGCCUUCCGGUUCGGAAUAACCCUGGGAAACUAGGGCUAAUACCGGAUACGCCCUUAUGGGGAAAGGUUUACUGCCGGAAGAUCGGCCCGCGUCUGAUUAGCUAGUUGGUGGGGUAACGGCCUACCAAGGCGACGAUCAGUAGCCGGUCUGAGAGGAUGAUCAGCCACACUGGGACUGAGACACGGCCCAGACUCCUACGGGAGGCAGCAGUGGGGAAUAUUGGACAAUGGGCGCAAGCCUGAUCCAGCCAUGCCGCGUGAGUGAUGAAGGCCUUAGGGUUGUAAAGCUCUUUUAUCCGGGACGAUAAUGACGGUACCGGAGGAAUAAGCCCCGGCUAACUUCGUG